rnacentral:rRNA from 1 species
CCUACGGGGGGCAGCAGUGAGGAAUAUUGGUCAAUGGACGCAAGCCUGAACCAGCCAUGCCGCGUGCAGGAAGACGGCCCUAUGAGUUGUAAACUGCUUUUGUACGAGGGUAAACGCAGAUACGCGUAUCUGUCUGAAAGUAUCGUACGAAUAAGGAUCGGCUAACUCCGUGCCAGCAGCCGCGGUAAUACGGAGGAUUCAAGCGUUAGCCGGAUUUAUUGGGUUUAAAGGGUGCGUAGGCGGUCGGUUAAGUUCGAGGUGAAAUCCCGAGGCUCAACUUCGGAAUUGCCGUUGAUACUGUUCGGCUAGAGAGUAGUAGCGGUAGGCGGAAUGUAUGGUGUAGCGGUGAAAUGCUUAGAGAUCAUACAGAACACCGAUUGCGAAGGCAGCUUACCAAGCUACUUCUGACGUUGAGGCACGAAAGCGUGGGGAGCAAACAGGAUUAGAUACCCUAGUAGUC